GAACUGAUAAGAUCACCAAAGUUAAGCAGCAUCAAGCCUGGCUAGUACCUAGAUGGGUGACUGCUUGAGAAUACCAGGUGUUGUAA